CAGGGAAGAAAAGGCUGUUGCUAAUACCGACAGCUGAUGACGGUACCUGAAGAAUAAGCACCGGCUAACUACGUGCCAGCAGCCGCGGUAAUACGUAGGGUGCGAGCGUUAAUCGGAAUUACUGGGCGUAAAGCGAGCGCAGACGGUUACUUAAGCAGGAUGUGAAAUCCCCGGGCUCAACCUGGGAACUGCGUUCUGAACUGGGUGACUAGAGUGUGUCAGAGGGAGGUAGAAUUCCACGUGUAGCAGUGAAAUGCGUAGAGAUGUGGAGGAAUACCGAUGGCGAAGGCAGCCUCCUGGGAUAACACUGACGUUCAUGCUCGAAAGCGUGGGUAGCAAACAGGAUUAGAUACCCUGGUAGUCCACGCCCUAAACGAUGUCAAUUAGCUGUUGGGCAACUUGAUUGCUUAGUAGCGUAGCUAACGCGUGAAAUUGACCGCCUGGGGAGUACGGUCGCAAGAUUAAAACUCAAAGGAAUUGACGGGGACCCGCACAAGCGGUGGAUGAUGUGGAUUAAUUCGAUGCAACGCGAAGAACCUUACCUGGUCUUGACAUGUACGGAAUCCUCCAGAGACGGAGGAGUGCCUUCGGGAGCCGUAACACAGGUGCUGCAUGGCUGUCGUCAGCUCGUGUCGUGAGAUGUUGGGUUAAGUCCCGCAACGAGCGCAACCCUUGUCAUUAGUUGCCAUCAUUUAGUUGGGCACUCUAAUGAGACUGCCGGUGACAAGCCGGAGGAAGGUGGGGAUGACGUCAAGUCCUCAUGGCCCUUAUGACCAGGGCUUCACACGUCAUACAAUGGUCGGUACAGAGGGUAGCCAAGCCGCGAGGUGGAGCCAAUCUCAUAAAACCGAUCGUAGUCCGGAUUGCACUCUGCAACUCGAGUGCAUGAAGUCGGAAUCGCUAGUAAUCGCAGGUCAGCAUACUGCGGUGAAUACGUUCCCGGGUCUUGUACACACCGCCCGUCACACCAUGGGAGUGGGGGAUACCAGAAGUAGGUAGGGUAACCGCAAGGAGCCCGCUUACCACGGUAUGCUUCAUGACUGGGGUGAAGUCGUAACAAGGUAGCCGUAGGGGAACCUGCGGCUGGAUCACCUCCUUU
rnacentral:rRNA from 1 species